UUUUUUUUCUUUUUGUGAAAUUUUUAGUCUGAAGUUGUCUUUCUCCAAAAAUUUUAGUCUGGCUGAAAACUCAAUACCAGUAUUUAUUCUAACUUUUCCCGACCACCAAUUUUGGCAUUACUGUGAAAAAUGUUAUAAGACUUUGGUUCUGGCUUUAUAUUUAGCUUCUUUUAUUUAGUUGGCUUAAACGACUACAUUAGUUGUUAACAAUGAAACUUAAUUCGCAUCGUGUGAGCGAGGGACUACAUCUGGGACCUGUUAUGACCUGAUGCUCCAUGGGUUUAUUUCAACAAGGAAAGGAAAACCAUUUUAACCCCCAGAUCUGAUUCUGAAUUCAGUUAUUCUGCAGCACUUGGACCUUGUCCAUGUACCAGUUAUUACAAAUCUUCCUCCCACAUCUCGCCUUCCCAAUUGGAAAUAAGCAAAAUGUGUUUUUAUCAGUCUCUAAGUGUUUACAUUUGCAUAUGGCACUCAAAAGUAUUUUGCUUUGCAUUUGCAAACUUUGGCUUCAUUAAAUUUUUUUUUGAAUCAUGUAUCUUCUUGUGAAGAAUUACAUGGAGAACAUUUUGUUUUAAUAGUCAUUUAAAUUUUUUACUGGCUUUUCAGAUCCCUGGAAAACACUGAGGGUGUUCUCACAAUUUGUCUGGCUUGUCUUUGGAAAAUCAUGUUGGAAUGUGAAUCCAAAGCAUCAAAAUUUGUGAAAGCGGAGUGUUAUCCCAAAAGUGUCAAGCAGCCAAAUGGUGCCAGUUUCAACAAUGAUGCCAGAGGGUUUUUCAGAAAGACAGUUUUUGUUUAAAUCCCUGCUUUUUGUCCAGCAUCUAUAGUUGGUCUAUUUGUCUCACACAAAGGGCCAGCAGCACCUGAAACUUUUAUCUUUUACUUCCUUUGGAGAGUCACUUGACAUUUUACUGUAAUAUUUUCAUUUUAUUGUAUUAUUUAUUUGUUUUUAUUAAAUCUUUAUUGACCAGACUUCAUUAAGGGAAGAUUUGUAUUUUGUAAAAUAUCACACAUAUUUUAGACAAAUAAUAUAAUGCCUUUUAAAUUUAUGUAUAAACACAUCUAAAAGGUCAAAGAUUAGGUUAGGUUGAUUAUUAUUUGUCAUUUGUUCACUCAUCCACAUAUAUAUUUAGUAAGCAUAUACAAAGUAGUUGCUAGAUUUUAUGAAGGAGAAUUAAGAUGAAUCAGAUGUAAAUCUAAUCUCAUUUCCCUCUAUAAAAUUACUGAAAAACAGAAAAAUAUAAUAUUAAAAUGAUAGCUAAGUAAGAGAGGGAGGAAGGAAGAAGGGAAGAUGUGUGGAGGGAAAGAGCAAGAAAGAGAAUAGGAGUGAUAAAAACAAAGGUGGCAAAAUCCUAACAAUUGGUGAAUUUUGGAUAAUAUUCAUAAACGAGUUCUUUGCACUAUUCUUAUAACUUUUCUGUAUGUUAGAUAUUAUUUUAAAAUAGAAACUUAUUAAGUAUCUGUUCUGGGGAAAAAAGCAGAUGAAAUAUCUAAGGGACUGAAGUUUGGGAUGUCUAGAGUCCUCCUCAACGAUAGGAACUGCAACUCAAAUCUCAUUUAUCUCCCUACUACUUCCAGAAUCAUCUUUCAACUUGUGAGACAAAAAAUAUAUAAACAAGGAGUGCUUAUUUUUUUCUUUGGAAUCUCAAUAUUGAGGCCAAAUUUCUUCUGAUUAAGCCAUAAAACUACUGCAAACUGCACAUGCAAUACAUAAAAGAACACACGCAGAGACAACUUUGUAAGGGGCUGUGGGUAAGCCUCAACAACUAGAAGAUUUGGAUGAAUCUCUUGGUCUCUUUUGCUAUCUACUAUUAAUUUAAAACUAUCCUUACUCUUAAACUGUAAGCAAGUUGAAUCUGGAGUUUUAUCUUUCUCAUCUUUAUACAUCCAGCAGAGACCCUUGUGGGUAGUACCUCAUUCCCGUUUGUUGGUGUAUGAAUGAAUAAAUACAAACUGAAACAUUUUUUGUGCCAAAGAUCUCCAGAUCGAUUUCUCUUAUUUUAUUUCUCACACCAAGGCUCUACUGAUCUUCAUGAGGUUGAGUUAGCCCAGAGUAUAAAAUUUGACACAUCUGAUUCUUUAUGACCACCUUUCUAAUUAGAACUGCAGUGUGCAAACUAUAUUUAGGAAAAGGUGUUCACAGAUUUGUCAAAAGGAAAGUAGAUUUCAAAGCUGGGGAAUGUUAAUGGUCAGCUAAUAUAUUUAGCCUGUGGUUAAAUAAUAUCUUUUAUUGUGUCUUUUUAAAAUCAAAAGCCCUAUAUGAUGUAUAUGGUUUUCAAAUGACAUUUGAAUAAAAAUGUAAAAGGCAUCUAAAGAGAUGAAGGGCACUUCUGGACUUGGAGAGAGCCCUCAGGUUUGAUAAUCACAUUUCCAGUAAUCUAAAUUCAUACCUAUUAUCACUUAAGUGAACAUUGAUGCUGCCACUGGAUCUUAUACAAAUAUUCAGAUUUUUGUUUUCCUCAUCAUUCUGAAGGUUAUCUCCCUGGUCACUCUGAAAAAUCAGGUGACAACCAUUUCCCAUGAUGCUUUAAGGGCUGUCAAACUGUCCAUCAAGCUGUCACCUGACCAAUCGUUCCCAUGGUUCUUUUAGACUUCCAGUAUGAUAAAUUGAAAGGCACUAUUAUCUGUCUGUUGUGAAGAGGAACUGUUUGGGCUUUGAUAAGAUAUCACUACUCCCAGGUGAGAGGCGGCUGACAGCACAUCAAGGCAAAACAACACGUAGAAACACCGAACAGGGGAGCACAGGUUUACAAACAUCUGUUGUCAUUAUUUAUUACUUUUCUUUGGGCUUAAGUUUCUGACUCAUCCUCAGAUAAUUCAAGAACAGAUAUUUUGCUUUCUAGCUUGCAAAUGACAACUUCUGCUCUUUUCAUCUUGGGAGAAAAAUCUUAAAAUUGAAAACACAUCAGCCUACCUUUUGAUUCAUGGCACACAAGUGUUCCACCUUGUAACCAACAAGUUCUGUGUUCCUGCUGAUGUCAUCAUUUACUUUUUUAAAAAAGUAUUUAAGAAUAACUAUAUUUAACUAUAAUAAAUAGUUGGAUUUGGGGGGUUAAAUAAUAAAAUCAGUUACCGAUGUCUUGGAGGACGUUAUUAAUGUACCAAUACACAAACUAGUUUAAGUGUCAGCACAUAUUAUUUACAUUUUAAAAUUGAUGAUAAGGUUUAUAAGUCCAACAUUUCAUGAGAAAUAAGGUUUGUGAGUUAUUUUUACCAGCUUCACUUUUUAGUCAUUCUGAAUUAUGCUAGCAUAAAUCUAAAAACUUGAAUUUAUAUGCAAGAGACAUGAAUAGAGGGAAGGACAUUGCCCUCCAUGGAUCAAUACUGUCGUCAGGAUUGGGAUAAGGAAAAUUGUAAGUGAAGGAGGAGGUUGUGAGGUUAAGGCUUUCUAAAGAAAUCUUUCUGAGAAGUGGGAACAGUUUAUUAGAACUGAAGAAACAAUUUUACAUUUAGGAUCUGAACUUUGGAAUUAACUAUCCAAAAAGGUGCCAACAGAAAUUUCUUAAAAGGUAUUAAAAUCUAGAUACUUGAAUUCUAAUUAGAUGUAAAUGUAACUGUAUUUUUUGGUGAUUUUUUCCCCCUUUCUUUUCUUUCCCUGUUACUUUAAUGGCAUGUGAUAAUAGGUUUCCUAUGUGUUCUAUGCCCUUACAUACCAUCAUUAUAUGAAAACCAGAACAGACCCUUUGGAGAUCACUCAGGGAAGAUAAUCUGUUGUUAUUUAUUGUGGAAUAAAAGUACUGUAGUUGGUUGCUAACAUCACCACCUUGUGUACAAAUAUUUUUUUGCAUGCAGUUUCCUAAUGUCAUUAAGCAGUAUUGUAAUGCCAUUACAUAGUAAUGUAGUACUUCGAUUAGAGACAUUUAAAUAAUUUUGUAAUUCAAAAUCUGAAAAAAUAAACUAUGGCUUAUUUUUAGUCCUUUGUAAUUAUUUAACCACCUAACACUCUUCUUCAUUCAUAUAAGAAGCAAACAGGCCCCCGAGUCCUCAAGAACUAAGAAUUUGUCAAAAUAGUCUCUAAAACAAUGGCCAAGGGAUUUAGAGUAAAAAAGGAAAAGAAAGAAUUAAUUUUUCUGAAUAUUCAUAAUAAUACCAACAGUACAUGCAUCCAGUGCUUACAAUAUCUAUUGGUGAAACUAAUUUCGACAAUUUUUCUCCCUACGCAUUUUUAGCUCACCCAGUAGGCUAAGUUGGAAAUUAUUACUUACUUGAAAGUAUCAUUUUGGUCUCUAUCCAAAGAUGAGGACUUGAAAGUAUCAUUUUGGUCUCUAUCCAAAGAUGAGGGGAACCUCUUAAUGAGGUUCUGAAUAUCAAAAUCCUUUUUCUAGUGGCUUCUGGCAUGUCAGAAUCCCAUAGCAAGUUUUUAAAUUUUCAGCAGUCCUUGCAGAUCAAUGAAGUUCAGUUGACUGGACUCCAUUACUUUUCAAAAAGGACAUACCUUAUGGUCUAAUGAAGGAGAUAGUGGCUGGAGAGGAAAAGACCAGAAUAUUCAAUAAAUUCAGUGCAGGUCUCAAAGAAGACAAAACAAACAUGCUCCCUUUUAAUCCCUCUCUCACAAUAGGAUUUCCAACAGAUUUCUAGAAAAAAAAACAUUAUACAUUUGGAUUUUAGUGUCACUUCUUUCAUAAUUUCUCAGUCCCUCUUUAUCUCUAAGUGAUCUUUUAUUAUAAUUUCUUACUUCACGUAGUAGCUACGUAAGAGUUGUUAUAAGUUGCUAUAAAUUGUUAUAAGAAGUAGCAUCCAGUGCUUCUCUCACUUCUAGAGUUUUCCUACGGUCUAUGGUUAUACGGUAGACUUUAAAAUGCUGGGGCACCUGGGUGGCUCAGACAGGUAAGUGGCUGCCUUCGGCUUAGGUCAUGAUCUCAGGGUCCUGGGGUCCAGCCUCACGUAGGUCUCCCUGCUCAGUGAGGAGUCUGCUUCUCCCUCUGCCUCCCCCACCCCGCCGACUCUUGCUCACACUCUUUCUCUCUCUCAAAUAAAUAAAUAAAAUCUUUUUAAAAAACCUUUAAAAUAUUCCUAAGGAUCUAAGGCAAAAUAUAACAAUCUAAAUUUGGGGUGUAUGUGCGUGUCUUCCUGUCUGUCUGUGAGAAACUUGGGUAUUUUCAAAUGGAAGUUCACUUGACAAUUGUAAAAAAUUCUGCCACGUUAACUAAUGAUUAGUUUUCUUCUAAUUUUGACUUUAUAGGGUCUUCUAACAAGAGACUAAGAAAAUCUUGAAAAGGUGGGUAGCCUUGACCAGAUGAAUUUGGGGGCAUUUUUACAAUGAUAAUUUUUCUGAAUAAUUCAGUGGCAAAAUCACAAAGUAAGGCUGGAUUUCAAUUCCUUUUAUCAUAAAAACUUCUUGUCAAAUCUUUUAGCUCUGGUUUCUGACUGAUGAUACAUGAGAGGGCUAUUAAAAGGAACUGGGUUAGCUCAAGAUUAUUUCUCAUGAUUUUUUCUAGACUAUGAUCAUAUUGGCACUAUAUUCAUUGUCAAUCUCAUGGUUUCCAAAGUCCGAAAGUCUUGUGUGUCAACAAAAGAACUACAACCACGGUGUAGGGAGGGCAGGUACCAAAUUUCAUAGAUGAGCAAACUGAGGAUCAGAGGCAAGACCGGGAAAUGUUCAUGAUCAUACAGAUGUCAGAGCCAGUGAAGAACUCAAGUGUUCUGAUGCUUAGUUCAAUGUUAUGUCCUCUACCUUCACACUGCUCUGGUCUUGUCCCCAAAGACAUUUUGAAAAUGUAGAUAUUAGAAGUUAAGGCCAUUUUGGUAGGUGUUACCCAUGUUUGGUGGCAGUUUCUCCAUGGAGAAUUCUAAUGCUGGAAAGUCACCUGAUGCCAUACUGUCCAACAUGAAGUCAAGUUACUGCUAACUUACUCCUUAUAUUUUUAGAAUCAAACACAGUCAUUAUGGUAGGCUGUUUCAUUUAGCUCUGACAACAAACAAAUGUGUGCACAUUUAUAUACCAUGUAUGCAUGGUAAACAUGAAUUAGAACUUGUGAGAUAUGUAAUGAUUUUUAAAAGCUUAAAAUAAUUUUUAAAAAACGUGCCUAAAAGGAAUGAAAAUCCAUAGACACUUUCUGAUUUUACUUCAUAUUAAAUGUUUCAAGCAUUGAUGUUUAAAAAAAGCCAACCACUAAUGAUCUUUAAAGGGAGAAAAUGAACUUACAAAAGCUUCAGAUGUUUGGGUGUUUUCCUUUUAUGUUGUAUCUACCUAGGUCAAGCAAUGUGAAUUAAAUGAAACUGAACUGAAUAAAAAUCUAAUGUAAAACUGAGAUUCAUUAAACUGUUCACCUUUUUUGACUGGAUACUUGUAUAUGUAAAAAGCUACAACAGAAAUGAAAAACACUGUUUGCAAAUUUUAAUAAAGGUGAUUUUUGAGACUGAAAAUAGAAAAAAUAGUAUAUUUCUUAAAUCUCAUUUAAAUUUUUUAACUUACACAGAAGAAUAAACUGAAACUACUUGCGGAAAUCACUUAACAGUUUUUUACUUUCCCCAAAAGAUUCAGAUUAUGAAACAGUGGGACAAAAUGCGGCUAAGUGAUCUCUUAAGAUGGCAAAUGCUCGAACUUACUUCUAUGCUUAAGAUAUUAAGAAAAUGUCACCUGAAUAAAGAUGAAAUUGACCAAAACUAUCACUAGCUAGGAAAGAAGUAAACAGUAGAAUUUGAUCUAAGUUAACUUUACAUUCCAAACUCAAAAUCAUAACAAUAAAGUUCUUUACAUGAGCAACUUUGUGAACUGAAAAAAGGGGCUGUCUAAUUUCUUCCCAUGCAUCAAGCUAAAGAAAUGAAGGAAGAAAAUCAUUCUUCUCUGUUGGCCUCCUGUGUAAAAUUUCUUUUCUUAUCAUCCCAUCUCGUCAUAUCUUUCUGCAGUUUGAAUUACCCUCUUUUCCUCAGACUGGUAAGGCAGUAAAAGGAUGUUUGUUCUGCUAAUUAACUUUAUUACCCUGAUAACUCCCUGCAGCCUUUUACGAAAACAAUUACCGUUACUCCUUUUUCCCCCCACUGGCAAAAAAGAAAAAAAAAAAAGAAGAAAAAAGAAAAAGAAAAAAAAAAGGAAAAGAAAAAAAAAAAAAG
rnacentral:lncRNA from 1 species